AGGACGAACGCUGGCGGCGUGCUUAACACAUGCAAGUCGAGCGGAAAGGCCCUUCGGGGUACUCGAGCGGCGAACGGGUGAGUAACACGUGAGCAAUCUGCCCUUAGCUUCGGGAUAGCCCCCGGGAAACCGGGAUUAAUACCGAAUAUGACCUUGGCCGACAUCGGCCUUGGUGGAAAGUUUUUCGGCUAGGGAUGAACUCGCGGCCUAUCAGCUUGUUGGUGGGGUAAUGGCCUACCAAGGCGACGACGGGUAGCCGGCCUGAGAGGGCGACCGGCCACACUGGGACUGAGACACGGCCCAGACUCCUACGGGAGGCAGCAGUGGGGAAUAUUGCGCAAUGGGCGAAAAGCCUGACGCAGCGACGCCGCGUGGGGGAUGAAGGCCUUCGGGUUGUAAACCCUUUCAGCAGGACGAAGCGAGAGUGACGGACCUGCAGAAGAAGCGCCGGCUAACUACGCGCCAGCAGCCGC
rnacentral:rRNA from 1 species